rnacentral:rRNA from 1 species
CGAGAAAGCCCGCAAGGGUGAGUACAGCGGCGCACGGGUGCGUAACACGUGGGUAAUCUACCUCGAAGUCCGGAAUAACUCCCCGAAAGGGGUGCUAAUGCCGGAUGAGACCACGGGAGCCGAGGCUCCCGAGGGAAAAGAUGGCCUCUGCAAGCAAGCUAUCGCUUCGAGAUGAGCCCGCGGCCCAUCAGCUAGUUGGCGGGGUAACGGCCCACCAAGGCUACGACGGGUAGCUGGUCUGAGAGGACGAUCAGCCACACUGGAACUGAGACACGGUCCAGACUCCUACGGGAGGCAGCAGUGGGGAAUCUUGCGCAAUGGGCGAAAGCCUGACGCAGCAACGCCGCGUGUGUGAUGAAGGUCUUCGGGUCGUAAAGCACUGUCGCGAGGGACG